rnacentral:rRNA from 1 species
UACAGAGACUGCAAGCGUUAUUCGGAUUCACUGGGCGUAAAGGGUGCGCAGGCGGUUGGGUGUGUCAGAUGUGAAAUCCCGAGGCUCAACCUCGGAACUGCGUCUGAAACUACUCGACUAGAGUACUGGAGAGGGUAACGGAAUUCACGGUGUAGCGGUGGAAUGCGUAGAGAUCCGGAAGAACACCGGUGGCGAAGGCGGUCUGCUGGGCCAAGACUGACGCUGAGGCGCGACAGCGUGGGGAGCAAACAGG